AACGAACGCUGGCGGCAGGCCUAACACAUGCAAGUCGAGCGAGGACUUCGGCCCUAGCGGCGGACGGGUGAGUAACGCGUGGGAACGUGCCCUUUGCUACGGAAUAGCCCCGGGAAACUGGGAGUAAUACCGUAUGUGCCCUUCGGGGGAAAGAUUUAUCGGCAAAGGAUCGGCCCGCGUUGGAUUAGGUAGUUGGUGGGGUAAUGGCCUACCAAGCCGACGAUCCAUAGCUGGUUUGAGAGGAUGAUCAGCCACACUGGGACUGAGACACGGCCCAGACUCCUACGGGAGGCAGCAGUGGGGAAUCUUAGACAAUGGGGGAAACCCUGAUCUAGCCAUGCCGCGUGAGCGAUGAAGGCCUUAGGGUUGUAAAGCUCUUUCAGUGGGGAAGGUAAUGACGGUACCCACAGAAGAAGCCCCGGCUAACUCCGUGCCAGCCGCCGCGGUAACAC
rnacentral:rRNA from 1 species